rnacentral:rRNA from 1 species
CCUACGGGUGUGCAGCAGUGGGGAAUAUUGGACAAUGGGCGAAAGCCUGAUCCAGCCAUGCCGCGUGUGUGAAGAAGGCCUUCGGGUUGUAAAGCACUUUCAGUGGGGAAGAAAGCCUUGGGGCUAAUACCCUCGAGGAAGGACAUCACCCACAGAAGAAGCACCGGCUAACUCCGUGCCAGCAGCCGCGGUAAUACGGAGGGUGCGAGCGUUAAUCGGAAUUACUGGGCGUAAAGCGCGCGUAGGCGGUCUGAUAAGCCGGUUGUGAAAGCCCCGGGCUCAACCUGGGAACGGCAUCCGGAACUGUCAGGCUAGAGUGCAGGAGAGGAAGGUAGAAUUCCCGGUGUAGCGGUGAAAUGCGUAGAGAUCGGGAGGAAUACCAGUGGCGAAGGCGGCCUUCUGGACUGACACUGACGCUGAGGUGCGAAAGCGUGGGUAGCAAACAGGAUUAGAUACCCUAGUAGUC